CACUAUGCCUAGCCCUAAACAUCGGUAGCAUUCUACAGCUGCUACCCGCCUGGGUACUACGAGCAUCAGCUUAAAACCCAAAGGACUUGGCGGUGCUUUAGAUCCACCUAGAGGAGCCUGUUCUAGAACCGAUGCCCCCCGUUCAACCUCACCCUUUCUUGUUUUCCCCGCCUAUAUACCACCGUCGUCAGCUUACCCUGUGAAGGCCUCAUAGUAAGCAAGAUUGGCACAGCCCAAAACGUCAGGUCGAGGUGUAGCGCAUGGAAGGGGAAGAAAUGGGCUACAUUCCCUCCCCUCAGGGAAUUACGGACGAUGUACUGAAAUACAUAUCUGAAGGAGGAUUUAGCAGUAAGCAAAAAAUAGAGUGUUUUGCUGAAAUUGGCCCUGAAGCGCGCACACACCGCCCGUCACUCUCCCCAAGCUCACACCCUAAAGUAAAUAAAACCCUAUACCUGCAAAGGGGAGGCAAGUCGUAA
rnacentral:rRNA from 1 species